CCUACGGGAGGCAGCAGUGAGGAAUAUUGGUCAAUGGACGAGAGUCUGAACCAGCCAAGUAGCGUGAAGGAUGACUGUCCUAUGGGUUGUAAACUUCUUUUAUAAAGGAAUAAAACGAGGCACGUGUGCCUGUUUGCAUGUACUUUAUGAAUAAGGAUCGGCUAACUCCGUGCCAGCAGCCGCGGUAAUACGGAGGAUCCGAGCGUUAUCCGGAUUUAUUGGGUUUAAAGGGAGCGUAGAUGGGUUGUUAAGUCAGUUGUGAAAGUUUGCGGCUCAACCGUAAAAUUGCAAUUGAUACUGGCAGUCUUGAGUACAGUUGAGGUAGGCGGAAUGCGUGGUGUAGCGGUGAAAUGCUUAGAUAGCACGAAGAACCCCGAUUGCGAAGGCAGCUUACUAAACUCUGACUGACAUUGAUGCUCGAAAGUGUGGGUAUCAAACAGGAUUAGAUACCCUAGUAGUC
rnacentral:rRNA from 1 species